rnacentral:lncRNA from 13 species
GUAUUCCAAAUCCACUGAAAGAGAAGAGACCAAUACAAGGAAUUGUCCCCUUCUAGAAGACUUGUUGCCACAUGUUAAAUGAAAUUCUGGGCAAUGUGACAUUAUCCAAGCGGUGCUACAUUUCUGUUUGUUUGUUAGGUCACUACAUCAGGUCUUACAAGCUUUCAGACCUCAAUUAGUGACCUCAGGCUUCGAUAAUGGAAAACGCACCUGAUCCGCACCACCGAGACGCACCUUGACCCUGACUCUGUGGCAUCUUCCACGUAAUAACUUAACAACAACUGAAGAAUACCUGCGCACCAGAACUCAAUACCAGGUAAUUAUCUCUGAGACGGAGCAUCUUCUUCCUUCAAACAUCAAUUGGAUUCCAGAGGCGAAGCUUUAUGUGCAGCUGUGUACUUUGACAUUUCAUAGGCAAUGGGUUUGUUGCCACGUCUGCAGGCAAGUUUGCUGUCUAGACACCAUCAAUGUCAUCCUUAUUCUCAAUGUAAGGCCCUCAUUUGGAAGGUAGAUCUGAGUUCAAAGAGAAUAAAGAUAUCUUGCUGUCCUGCGGUAUAGGGUGGCCGUCAGUGAAUGUCUGACUGUCUGGGUCACUCUCUGGGAACUAAAGGCUGUAAUCAAAAACACAAAUGAAGAACUAUCAUGAAUGUCCUGAAGUACAGGGUCACUCACAGCAGUAGGCUUGACAGAACCAGAUGUGACAGAACAACACAGACGUCUUGAAGGGAACACUAAUGUCAUCCUCUCUUUGAGGAGAUUAUAAAAGAUGAUUGAUUCGCUGACCUGUUUGGAAAAUGAUAUCAAGGCAGGUUGUUUUUCCUCUGACUUUUUCCUCAAGGCUAUGGUGUAGCAGCCGAUGAAAGCCUGUACUUUGGUGGGGUUUACAAUAUCAUUCACAAAAGAGAAACUCUCACAGUUGAUAUAAUUGAAAAUUAAUAUUUUUGUUCCAAGGCAUAGAUCAAGGACAGAGUCAUGUAAACAACCUUCACGAAACUCUUCCUCUCCUCCACAUCCCAACCCAUGUAUUUUAUUCUGCCCAGUGACCUCCUCACCCCACCACCACUCAUGUCUUUUAUCCUGCCCAGUGACCUCCUCACCCCACCACCACAUGUCUUUUAUCCUGCCCAGUGACAUCCUCACCCCACCCAUGUAUUUUAUCCUGACCAGUUUUUGCUCAAGGACAGAAUAUGUUGCUGACAUGUUGCACAAAAUGUUCUCCUGCUUUUUGGCCUACAUUGAAACACUAGUCACUGGUUUUGCUUAAAAACCUCUUAAGGAUCCGCCCAAUUUUCGCCUAAAAUGACAUACCCAAAUCUAACUGCCUGUAGCUCAGGCCCUGAAGCAAGGAUAUGCAUAGUCUUAAUACCAUUUGAAAGAAAACACUUUGAAGGCCAUAAUGUAUUAUUCCAGCCCAGGUGCAAUUUAGAUUUUGGCCACUAGAUGGCAACAGUGUAGGUGCAAAGUUUUAGACUGAUCCAAUGAACCAUUGCAUUUAUGUUCAAAAUGUUGUAUCAAGACUGCCCAAAUGUGCCUAAUAUGUUUAUUAACCUCUUGAGUGUAGGGGGCAGUAUUUUGAUGUUUGGAUGAAAAACGUACCCAAAUGAAACUGCCUAUUUCUCAGGCCCGGAAUCUAGAAUAUGCAAAUACUUGUCAGAUUAGGAUAGAAAACACUCUAAAGUUUCCAAAACGGUCAAAAUAUAGUCUGUGAGUAUAACAGAACUGAUAUUGCAGGCGAAAUACUGGGGAAAAUCCAACCAGGAAGUGCCUAAGAGAAACUAAUCUCCCUGUUCCAUUGCAUGCCUAUCCUCCAUUUAAAGGGAUAUCCUAUGGCUUCCACAUGGUGUGAACAGUCUUUAGACAUAGUUUCAGGCUUUUAUUUAGAAAAAUGAGCGAGAAAGAUCACAUCGCGUCAUUGGAUGGCUGGGUGCCAGCAGCGUUUUGCAUGCGCCAACAGAGUGGAGCAGACAUUUUCUCUCUCCUAUUGAAGAAGCUACAGUCCGGUUGAAAUAUUAGCGAUUAUAUAUUGUAAAACCAACAUAAGGAUUGAUUAUAAAAACGUUUGACAUGUUUCUACGAACUAUUUUGAAUUUUCGU